GAAGCUCAAAGCCGCACUGGAAACACAGUCUUUCAGGAUGUCUGAAAGGGGCAAGUCUGUUUGUGUGGGGGAGAGGAGGGUGCAGACCAGAUUUUUAAAUUGAGAAUGCAACAGUGAAGGAUUUCAAGCUUGGAGUGAGAGGGGAGACUACGAGCCUGCAGUGAUAAGGCAAAGCUGAAGAUUUCAGAGCCAAGGCCACACCCUACAGUUGCCAUGGAAUGGGGUGGCACAGUGGGCUUUGGAGGUAAAGUCUGCAGUUGAGAAGUUCAAGGGUAGCUGGGGAGCUGUGCUUUGGAAAAGCAAUGAGGAGGUAACAGGAAGUCUCUUCUCCUUCUAAAUCCUGUGUUCAUGGAGGAGGGUGGGUUUUCUCCUCUUGAGAGGGAGUUACAUACAAGUUUAAGGGAAAAGAGUCUGAAGUUUCCACCUAAAUGAUUCUGAAAGAAUCAGGGGUGGAGCAAGAAGAGUGAUCCCAUUUAGGCAAGGAAUCCCUGACCCUUAUCUGGCUCAGCUUAACCUGGGAGGGCACAGUCAUCACAUCAGCUGGAGGAAAGAAUGAACAUGGAUUGGAAGAGCCUGCUGGUGUUGCAGAACAACAAUCCGGAAAGCCCUUGGAGGAGCUCCCUCUGUGUGAUUUCAAGAUCCAUUGCAUGGUUGCAGCUGAGAAGUGAACAAGCCUUAUGACCUGGUUUCUCUUGAAGAGGAUCUUUCCGGACCACUGAACUGUUUAAUAUUCUAGAAUUUAUGUUACACAGUAAAAGAUAGACAACUCUGUCUGCAGUUCUGGGACUGGGAUAUGCCUGUGCAUACACGCAUCUGCUCUGUUUUGGUUUCACUUCACUUUAGUUAUUUGAUUUGGUGUCUGCAAAACCCUGUGUGCACAUUUUUAUGAUCCUUGGGACAAUUUACUGCCAACCUUGCUUGAACUCUAAAAUAUGCCUCCAGUUUCGGAAAACCACAAAUUAUUUACCAAGGAGGCAAGGAAAUGGAGGUCACUGGGCUCAUUUCUUACAUAAUUUUCAACUUCCUUUCUGAGGCCUGACAUCUCCCGGCAGUCACAGUGAUGUCUUCCUUAGAUGGAUUCAAUAAUGGGGAAGAACAGAUGAAAAGUGGUGAAAGUUGCUAACUGCUGUGUUCCUCUGCUUGCUUUUCAUGCUGUGUGCCAGGAAUCAAAGCUGGAGGAGCGGAAGGGCACUAUGAUUUGCAUGUGACUGAUAUGUGUAUUCUUUUGUGUUCUCUGUGCUCUAGUCAAAUACUUCAUGUUGAUCUGUCUUUGGGAUCACUGAGCCAAUCUUCAGCUAUACUGUUCAGCUCAUCUGGUAUACAGGGAGUCCACGGAGCCUCCCCUGCAAGCAUCAGUACAGAAGUCGAUGAUAAUCUGGAUGCAAGCCCAGGAGUGUGGAGUCCACUGACUCAGAAGACCUGCAUCUAAGGAAUUGGCUGUUCUUAUCCUUAAGAAUGAUGACUGUGUUUCCAAUUCCAGUAGACCCUUUGAUGCGUUCUGAAUAAAUAUUCCUUUUGGAAUUGAACUUCUAGAGCCCUUAAC
rnacentral:lncRNA from 1 species